UGUGAAGCUCAAUGUUUCCUGGAUUUUGAAUAUUCAUCUUUCUAGUGGAUUUUAACCUUUGUAUUCUUGAUAAAAAAAAAAAGCAGAUGCAAUCAAAGUGAAAAGACAAACCGCAUGAAGAUGUCAAAGCCAGUGUUUGCGAUGUCAUAGUGCUGACUUAUGAUGUCAUGGCGUGUAUGUGUAAUGUACAUGCGUCUGUAUUUGUGUGCCCGUGUGUGUAUUUUUAUUUAUUUUCAGGAAUGCUGAAUCUCACAUUUGAUCUGACUUGGGAUAUUACAAGUAAGACAAUUGUGUUUCUCAGAGAAUCCACAAACUAUUUCAAACCCAAAGCUAUGAUAUUAUUAUUCACAUUGGCUUUUUGGAUUCAAAAGCCUAGUAUCAGAAAGGACAUCAAUCAAAGCUGUCCUUGUAAAGUGACAUUCACCAAAGCAAAUGUAACAAAAUCUACUUUUCUCACAUUUCAAGGUGUAGAGCAAAAGCUAUACAAUUCCAUUGUUGCCAUUUUUUUGUGAAGAUUUGUGCAUUUCGUUAUAAGAUUACAUUUAUGUGACCGGAAUCUCACUCUUUUCAAGAACUUUACUAUUUAUUGUAAAGAAUGAGGAUUUUGCUAGAAUAGUUUGGAGAAUGCAUUGUGACUUGCCUUGUUGUCUAACAUGAUUAUGGAUCACCAAUUAUAGGACUAGAAUGGCCCAAUGAUUUUUACAGUAAGAACUUCAGAUUCCAUAAUUGGAAUCUUGUUAAACUAAAACGAAGAGAGGCAAAAUAUAUUUAUGUCACACGAAGAUUCAGUUAUUUUAAAUGUAUGUUUUUAUUGUACUUUUGGAGGUAUACUGAUGUUGUGAUUAUGUUUUUGUUGAGUACGCCCUCAUUAAUCUGUGUGCCUGUAAAUGUACUGUUGAUUAAUGUGUGUGUGUAUGCGUGUGUGCCUGCAUGCGUGUGUGUGGUCUGAGGAAAUGAUUCCAGAAGGUGUGUGUGUGGGUGGGUGGAGGUAAGAGGGAAGUUGUGGUAUAAAAUGGUUGUUUUGGUGUGUGGCUCGUGGGGUGACAUUUAGUGGCGUGAGGUUUUCUAGAUAGAAGGAAGUGUAAGUAAACAUGAGAUAGCUUUAUUGGCCCCUAAUUGUAUUGCGGGAAGAUGAGGCAGGGGUGUACUGUAUUACCUCAGAAAAAUGUAUAGGGAUUAAUCUAAUAGAUAAACCCCAUGUCUGUUUCCAAGAAUAUAAAGUGAAGAUCUCACAAGCGUGCAACCCUUAUUUUGGUUAUUGGUGAAUUCUCGCAUUUGUAGAAUCAUACUGUUCAAUUGAUAAUAACAAUUAAAAAAAUCCCAACA
rnacentral:lncRNA from 1 species